CCCUUAGAUGUCCUGGGCCGCACGCGUGCUACACUGACGCCUACAGCGAGUACUUCCCAGCCCCGAGAGGCGGCUGGUAAUCAGCAAUAGGCGUCGUGAUGGGGAUAGAACUUUGGAAUUAUUGUUCUUGAACGAGGAAUGCCUAGUAAGCGCACGUCAUUAGCGUGCGCUGAUUAAGUCCCUGCCCUUUGUACACACCGCCCGUCGCUCCUACCGAUUGGAUGGUCCGGUGAAGCCUCGGGAUUGUGGUUCUUGCCGCUUUAUUGUGGCGUGACCGCGAGAACUUGUCUAAACCUUAUCAUCUAGAGGAAGGUGAAGUCGUAACA
rnacentral:rRNA from 1 species